rnacentral:rRNA from 1 species
GAUGAACGCUAGCUACAGGCUUAACACAUGCAAGUCGAGGGGCAGCAUGACCUAGCAAUAGGUUGAUGGCGACCGGCGCACGGGUGAGUAACACGUAUCCAACCUGCCGAUGACUCGGGGAUAGCCUUUCGAAAGAAAGAUUAAUACCCGAUGGCAUAGUUCUUCCGCAUGGUAGAACUAUUAAAGAAUUUCGGUCAUCGAUGGGGAUGCGUUCCAUUAGCUUGUUGGCGGGGUAACGGCCCACCAAGGCAUCGAUGGAUAGGGGUUCUGAGAGGAAGGUCCCCCACAUUGGAACUGAGACACGGUCCAA